rnacentral:tRNA from 1 species
UCCCACAUGGUCUAUUGGUUAAGACUCUGCACUUCUUCCACUGCAAGGGGUGCAGGUUCGAUCCCUGGUGGGAGAA